CCUACGGGGGGCUGCAGUGGGGAAUAUUGGACAAUGGGGGGAACCCUGAUCCAGCCAUGCCGCGUGUGUGAAGAAGGCCCUCGGGUUGUAAAGCACUUUCAGUGAGGAAGAACGCCUGGUGGUUAAUACCCAUCAGGAAAGACAUCACUCACAGAAGAAGCACCGGCUAACUCCGUGCCAGCAGCCGCGGUAAUACGGAGGGUGCGAGCGUUAAUCGGAAUUACUGGGCGUAAAGCGCGCGUAGGUGGCUUGAUAAGCCGGUUGUGAAAGCCCCGGGCUCAACCUGGGAACGGCAUCCGGAACUGUCAAGCUAGAGUGCAGGAGAGGAAGGUAGAAUUCCCGGUGUAGCGGUGAAAUGCGUAGAGAUCGGGAGGAAUACCAGUGGCGAAGGCGGCCUUCUGGACUGACACUGACACUGAGGUGCGAAAGCGUGGGUAGCAAACAGGAUUAGAUAGCCUGGUAGUC
rnacentral:rRNA from 1 species